rnacentral:sRNA from 1 species
CUAUUGUAAAAUGCCCGCUUGCCUUAUAUUUUUAAGUGGUUGUUUUUCAAAAGUGUUUACAUAAGGCAGUCAUAUUUCAGAGUAUAGAGCAAAAGUUUUUUUAUUAUUAUUUUUGAGACAGGGUCUCCCUCUGUCACCCAGGCUAGAGUUGCAGUGAGCCGAGAUCAAGCCACUGCACUCCGGCCUGGGAGACAGAGUGAGACUCCGUCUCUAAAUAAAUAAACAAAUAAAAAUGUAUUCUCUAAGGGCAUUUUUUUUUUUUGGUUACUGGUUCCUAGAGAUGAAAUGAUUAUCUUAUUUUCAGUAGGCAAGGUAGUUUAAAUGCAGAAAUUCUGUGAUAUAUGAAUAUUGUGACAUCAAGAACAGCUUCAUUGGCAUAUUCUUUGUGAAAGAGGCAAGAAGAAUAAAAGGGCUAAAAGUAUUUUAUUUUCAGCUUAUGAGUGUUGUUACUGCUUCAAAUUGUGUUUAGUCACCUGAGCCAUAAAUCAGUUGUAGUAGGGCUAUUGUAUUUUAAAUAUAUUUUUUGUUCUCCAAGGAGACUUACCUAGUUUGCCACCUCCUUGCCUAUUGCUCUGAUACGGUUUUCCCUCCUUUUUUAUUUAUUGCACAAAUAUCUAACAGUUAAAGAAAAAGAAAAAUUUCAGUACCAUAUCAAUUGUCUUUCAUAUUUUGUGCUCCUCCUUUCCAGUGCUUUUCUAUGUAAGUAAAUAUUCUGAUGUACUUGCAAGUAAUCACUCAGAGCAUAAUGUAAUUUUGUCUUUGGUGUCUUAAAAUUUUGCAGCCAGGCAAGAGAGGUUCACAGGGAAGGUAGGAAC